AGCGAACGCUGGCGGCAGGCUUAACACAUGCAAGUCGAACGGGCACUUCGGUGUCAGUGGCAGACGGGUGAGUAACACGUGGGAACGUACCUCUUGGUUCGGAACAACACAGGGAAACUUGUGCUAAUACCGGAUAAGCCCUUACGGGGAAAGAUUUAUCGCCGAGAGAUCGGCCCGCGUCUGAUUAGCUAGUUGGUGAGGUAAUGGCUCACCAAGGCGACGAUCAGUAGCUGGUCUGAGAGGAUGAUCAGCCACAUUGGGACUGAGACACGGCCCAAACUUCUACGGGAGGCAGCAGUGGGGAAUAUUGGACAAUGGGGGCAACCCUGAUCCAGCCAUGCCGCGUGAGUGAUGAAGGCCCUAGGGUUGUAAAGCUCUUUUGUGCGGGAAGAUAAUGACGGUACCGCAAGAAUAAGCCCCGGCUAACUUCGUGCCAGCCGCCGCGGUAA
rnacentral:rRNA from 1 species